GAAUCUGUAUCAAUCGUUUUUACAAUUUUUACAACGAAUUUGCACGGAAUAAAAAAGAUCUCUUACCACAAGGCUGACGGACAAGUUUAUCAUCACCGGUUGUUUUGCGAGCGCGAGAGAAUCGAUCAAGGUGAUCGCGAGUGAAAGGCAGCACUCACUGUACGUCGGUGUUCGUGUAAUGCUUAGGUCUGUAAGCAUAACACAACGCUCAACUUGCAUUACAGAUACUGUUUCACAACAACUCACUAUUAGAUCUGGUUCGCCCUAGAAUCUCGAUAAUUAAUCGAUGUCUACCCACGUAGAUUCCUCGUGAGGGUGAAGUCGUACAAUAUCUGUAUGAAUAUCCUGCACCUGUUCAGCUGAUCUCAUCAUCAUGCAGAAUGGUAAAAAAGUUUUUUACCUGCAAUCCUGCAAUAACGACGAUGGUAUGGGUAUACAGAGAUAAAUAAAAUCCAGUGCCAAGUGAAAGUUGUGGCUGAUUAACGAAACGCAAGCAAUAAGACUCAUGUAGCUGCAAUAAGCUAGCUGUUCAAUAAAUAAAAAA